AUGUUCAGACUGGAGGAGCUCUUGGCUCGCUGCAGCCACCCCACCACAACAGCAUCCCCAGAGCUCCCUGCUGGCCCUGGAGGAGUCAGAGUGCUCUGUGCUGGAAGAAGAGGAGUCGAGGCUGCUGGAGACAUCUGGGC
rnacentral:lncRNA from 7 species